AUGCAGGGUCAGGUCUCCAGACGUGCUCAAACGUCUGAAGAAUUUGCUGGAGACCUGGAAAUGCCUGAUAGGACGCAGGCUAAUCAUGAAGAAAUGAAUCCUCAUUUCUCACGUCCUCAUACUGUUUUAUCUGUUCUAUUGCUUAAUGAAAUUGAUCUGAUGAAAUUGAUGUCAUUUAAAACAAUAAUGAGGCUAGCCAACUCACCUUCAGAAGGCUCCCCCGAUUGGGGCCUCGUUGGCCGUUCGAUCUGCCCCUCCAACUCAGUUGCACCGUUGGAUCUUUACCUGCAGUUAAAUCAUUUUUCACCUCCGAGUUAUUUUACUGCCCAAUAA
rnacentral:rRNA from 1 species